GGAUUGUCCAGCCUCACAGCACUGCAGAGAUCCCAGUGCUGGUGGAAGUGCAGGCGCUGGGCACGCAUCGCACCAAUGUUCUCAUCGGCGUGUUCGGGGAUGAGAGAAACCCACUGAGAAAAAAGUUAUGGAGCUCUGGACGGCUGGCAGAAACCUCCCCAAGCCCAAGGCUGAUGGAGUCUGGCAGGAUCCCAGCACUACAGCCGAUAGAUGAGCUUCACCCACCUAAAUUCAAUCCCCAACCACCAAAGGAGAUGAGAACAUGUUUGGAUUGCCCAGCGUCUCGAUGGAGGCACUUCAAGGCUGGAAAGGAGGAGGCAGCCACAGCCCUGACUGAAGAGCAGGAUUUGACCCAGUCUUCAGGAGUAGAGGCUUCCAGUAUCCUGCCAGUGUCAGGUGUGCUGCAGCCAGGAGAGAGCCAGCAGGUCUCCUUGCCCUUCUCUGGCCACCUCAACAGCAUCUCCAGUGCCACGGCGCUGUGCCACGUGGAGGGAGACCCC